rnacentral:rRNA from 1 species
AUGCCUUGCAUCUACCCCCUAGCAGAUGACGGGCAAAGUAUGUUGUUGGCACUGCUAAAGAAUCGAUGGCCAAGGCUGGUGGAGGCACAAAAUGGCUUGCCUGACAGGGAACUACCGGAGGUAAUCGAGGGUCUUUGUACCUUGCCAGGCGUUGGUCCAAAAGUUGCAGCCUGCAUUUGUCUGUUCUCUCUUGAUAAGAAUCAGGUUAUUCAUGUUGACACACACGUCUGGAAGAAUGAGAACAUGUUUUGUGGUAUCAAAAAUACAUUUGAACCUUGA